rnacentral:snRNA from 1 species
GUUACCUGCUUAUGAACAAGAGAU